GAACUGUCUAACUUCAGCUUGUCAACUGAAUUCCCAUAUGUCUGUAAGUAUAUGAGUAUAUGAGCCCCUAAAUAAAUUGAACUGGUUGAACGAGACUAAACGUGUAAACAAAAGAAAAAAGUAAUAUUUAUAUAAAAAAACAUCUAUUCUCGUGUCUCAGGCUAUUUGAUCGAACCAAAUUCGUUUGUGUCGUCAUUAUAAUAUGUGUCAUUAUGAGGUGUAUAACGAUUUGGGCACG